rnacentral:rRNA from 1 species
AUUGAACGCUGGCGGCAGGCUUAACACAUGCAAGUCGAGCGAGCGGCGGAAGUGUGAGUAAUGUCUGGGAAACUGCCUGAUGGAGGGGGAUAACUACUGGACACUGUAGCUACUACCGCAUACCAUCAGAUGUGCCCAGAUGGGAUUAGCUAGUAGGUAGGGUAAUGGCUCACCUAGGCGACGAUCCCUAGCUGGUCUGAGAGGAUGAACAGCCACACUGGAACUGAGACACGGUCCAGACUCCUACGGGAGGCAGCAGUGGGGAAUAUUGGACAAUGGGCGCAAGCCUGAUGCAGCCAUGCCGCGUGUGUGAAGAAGGCCUUCGGGUUGUAAAGCACUUUCAGUGAGGAGGCGUUACCCGCAGAAGAAGCACCGGCUAACUCCGUGCCAGCAGCCGCGGUAAUAC